GACGAACGCUGGCGGCGUGCCUAAUACAUGCAAGUAGAACGCUGAAGCUUGGUGCUUGCACCGAGCGGAUGAGUUGCGAACGGGUGAGUAACGCGUAGGUAACCUGCCUGGUAGCGGGGGAUAACUAUUGGAAACGAUAGCUAAUACCGCAUAAGAGUAGAUGUUGCAUGACAUUUGCUUAAAAGGUGCAAUUGCAUCACUACCAGAUGGACCUGCGUUGUAUUAGCUAGUUGGUGAGGUAACGGCUCACCAAGGCAACGAUACAUAGCCGACCUGAGAGGGUGAUCGGCCACACUGGGACUGAGACACGGCCCAGACUCCUACGGGAGGCAGCAGUAGGGAAUCUUCGGCAAGGGACGGAAGUCGGACCGAGCAACGCCGCGUGAGGGAAGAAGGUUUUCGGAUCGUAAAGCUCUGUUGUAAGAGAAGAACGAGUGUGAGAGUGGAAAGUUCACACUGUGACGGUAUCUUACCAGAAAGGGACGGCUAACUACGUG
rnacentral:rRNA from 1 species